rnacentral:ncRNA from 2 species
AACAUCCCCGCGGGAGAGACCGGGACCGGAUUCGUCCGGAGCCCGGCGCCGAAGGCGCAACCGCCCCGGAAACGCUCAGGCAAACGGACCGCGUGGGAACU